rnacentral:ncRNA from 12 species
GGGUGUUCGCUGCGUGGUGCAGCGGCAGGUUAGCGAUGGUCGGGCCGCCACG